UACGAAGGGGGCUAGCGUUGCUCGGAAUUACUGGGCGUAAAGCGCACGUAGGCGGCUUCUUAAGUCGGGGGUGAAAUCCUGGAGCUCAACUCCAGAACUGCCUUCGAUACUGGGAAGCUCGAGUUCGGGAGAGGUGAGUGGAACUGCGAGUAUAGAGGUGAAAUUCGUAGAUAUUCGCAAGAACACCAGUGGCGAAGGCGGCUCACUGGCCCGAUACUGACGCUGAGGUGCGAAAGCGUGGGGAGCAAACAGG
rnacentral:rRNA from 1 species